rnacentral:rRNA from 1 species
GACGAACCGUGCGAACGUUGUUCGGAAUCACUGGGCUUAAAGGGCGCGUAGGCGGCUUGAUAAGUCGGGGGUGAAAACCCACGGCUUAACUGUGGGCUUGCGGUCGAUACGGGCAGGCUGGAGUUCGGUAGGGGAGACUGGAAUUCCUGGUGUAGCGGUGAAAUGCGCAGAUAUCAGGAGGAAUACCUGAGGUGAAGACGGGUUGCUAGGCCGACACUGACGCUGAAGCGCGAAAGCCAGGGGAGCAAACGGG